AGAACGAACGCUGGCGGCAUGCCUAACACAUGCAAGUCGAACGAGACCCCAACUUCGGUUGGACGUCUAGUGGCGCACGGGUGCGUAACGCGUGGGGAUCUGCCCUUCGGUUCGGAAUAACUCGGAGAAUCCGUGCUAAUACCGAAUAAUGACGUAAGUCCAAAGAUUUAUCGCCGAGGGAUGAGCCCGCGUAGGAUUAGCUUGUUGGUGAGGUAAAGGCUCACCAAGGCGACGAUCCUUAG
rnacentral:rRNA from 1 species